ACGUGCAAGAGCAUCUCUCACCUGCGAAUAAAAUAAUAGUUCAUUCUACCUCAAAAUUAUUUCAAUAGACAGAAUGAUCAGAGCAAUUUCACUGAAAAAGUAGAACCGUGGGUAAGAAUUCCAUGCCAUUUUUCAAUGACAAACAACCAAUAUAACCAGCCAUGUUUCUCAAGCCUGAUAAGCCAGAAAUAAUGCACAAAUACAUUUCACAAUAACGAAGAAGAACAGAAAAUGAAGUUAAACACAAUCUGAAGGCUAGUUUGAAAAAUACAAGUAUUUUGAACACCCAAGUGCAACAACUGACACCCAUAAUAAAUGUCAGAAGUAUAUGAACACAACAACCAGCAUUACAUUCUCUUCCUAAAAACAGAAGAUGGCCUAUCUUCACUUUCCAAGACAAGGAAAUAUGUUAUGGGCUAUGCUGACGUUUUAGUCUAACAUAUAUCCUGCAUUCCUGCUUAAGUGAAUCAGCAUAGCACAAUACAAGUGGUUGAUGCAGUGACAAUUUUUUUCAAGAAUUUACUAAAUAUUAUCACUAAAAGAUAUGGUAAUAUGAUAGAUGAAAG
rnacentral:misc_RNA from 1 species